rnacentral:tRNA from 1 species
GCGGCAGUGCUGGAAUAGGCAGACAGGCACGUUUGAGGGGCGUGUGUCUUCGACGUAUGGGUUCAAGUCCCAUUUGCCGCACCA